AAAAAGCCCCUGAGAUGAGUGGAUCUCAGUUUCAGUGAACUGCAGGGGGCACGGCCCAACCUCUUGGUCUGUGCUGUAGCUGACUGGAGUGUCUAACUCAGCAAGAUGGGAUUGGAGGGAAGUCUUCUCUGGCAGUGGGGGUUUGUUCUCAGUGGUAUCCCAGCACAUCUAGUGAUAGUCUUGAGGGAGUUUCUGUGACCCAACCCGUCAUCUAAGUGGCUCCA